rnacentral:lncRNA from 1 species
ACUCAAGACUAACCUGGACCACAUAAACAAGACGUUGUCUAGCCUUCCUCCUGGAGGGGUUGGGGAGCACUCCACAUAAGGAAGAGCCACUUCCAAAUUUCUAGAGGAGACCAAACCCUAAUUUUACUCCAGUCUUACUGCCCUAUUACUCUAGGGCCAGGACUAAUCCUGUUGAUUUUUUUUUAAUAUAAUUUUUGAGGUCUGUACUUUUGUCAGCUUUUUGCAGAUGAUGUAAUAUAUAAUCCAGACAGGGUGAAUGUCUCUGGAAGCACAAAUGGAGCAAAGACAAGGGUAGAAUUAACUCCGGACGUCUCUAAUCAGAAGAUCCUGACUGCUUAACAUUGGACUUCGUACCAAUUGCACAUGUGUUGAUGUUGGUCACUCUCCUGUCAUUUCCUGUCAUUUGUUACUGUAGCCGACAUCCUUAGAUAGCUUAUAUAUCCUUAUAGUUCUCAAAUAGUUUAUACCAUAAUAUACAUAAUUAGAAACAUCAAUUUGCCUACUAUCCCUACAAAAGAUUUUUUUUUCCAUACUGGAAGCAAAUGUUACGAGUCUCAGUGAUGUUGCCCCAGCAGAAUAUAGGAAUCCGCUGAGUCUAAGACAGUGCUCAGAAGAGGGGACUCAAUCAACUUCUGCAAACUCAUGCUGAAACAAGGAAGCUGCCUUCUUCCCCGACUUGCAAUCAGUCUCCAAAAUGUUGAAUCAUUGCCUGGAUGCAUGAACUCAACUGUGUGCAGCUUUAAUGUAUAGCAGCCAACAUUUCUAUACAUAAGUACUCUCAAAGGGGCUCAGAGGAGAACUAGAGACCUUUGGUUCUGUGGGUUUAAUGGGAAUGGAAAAUCUCCACGUUUACACAUCUAUUCUCACAUAUUAAUAUCAUUACAUUUAAACGGAGGUUUGAUUUCAAACAUUGAAUUAAUUAAGAAGGGAACAUCUACGGUAUUAGAAAGCCAAAUCAAAUGCCAACAGCGCCCUCUACUGACUUCUAAAAGAAAACUUUUUUUUUUUUUUUGUCUAGCAACAGAAAGAAAAUUUCUGUUUAUUUACUUAGCGAAGCACCCAGACACCAAAUUAAAUGUCUUAGAAAAUACCAAAUCCCUUGGUAAACCUGAAGGAAAAAUGCGAAGAAUUUUAUAAAUAGAAAUCAGCAGUCAUGUGGAUGCUCCACUACCAAUAAAAAUUUCCUGUUCCACU